AGCGUACACGGUGGAUGCCCUGGCAGUCAGAGGCGAUGAAGGACGUGCUAAUCUGCGAUAAGCGUCGGUAAGGUGAUAUGAACCGUUAUAACCGGCGAUUUCCGAAUGGGGAAACCCAGUGUGUUUCGACACACUAUCAUUAACUGAAUCCAUAGGUUAAUGAGGCGAACCGGGGGAACUGAAACAUCUAAGUACCCCGAGGAAAAGAAAUCAACCGAGAUUCCCCCAGUAGCGGCGAGCGAACGGGGAGGAGCCCAGAGCCUGAAUCAGUGUGUGUGUUAGUGGAAGCGUCUGGAAAGGCGCGCGAUACAGGGUGACAGCCCCGUACACAAAAAUGCACAUACUGUGAGCUCGAUGAGUAGGGCGGGACACGUGGUAUCCUGUCUGAAUAUGGGGGGACCAUCCUCCAAGGCUAAAUACUCCUGACUGACCGAUAGUGAACCAGUACCGUGAGGGAAAGGCGAAAAGAACCCCGGCGAGGGGAGUGAAAAAGAACCUGAAACCGUGUACGUACAAGCAGUGGGAGCCUCUUUUAUGGGGUGACUGCGUACCUUUUGUAUAAUGGGUCAGCGACUUAUAUUCUGUAGCAAGGUUAACCGAAUAGGGGAGCCGAAGGGAAACCGAGUCUUAACUGGGCGUUAAGUUGCAGGGUAUAGACCCGAAACCCGGUGAUCUAGCCAUGGGCAGGUUGAAGGUUGGGUAACACUAACUGGAGGACCGAACCGACUAAUGUUGAAAAAUUAGCGGAUGACUUGUGGCUGGGGGUGAAAGGCCAAUCAAACCGGGAGAUAGCUGGUUCUCCCCGAAAGCUAUUUAGGUAGCGCCUCGUGAAUUCAUCUCCGGGGGUAGAGCACUGUUUCGGCAAGGGGGUCAUCCCGACUUACCAACCCGAUGCAAACUGCGAAUACCGGAGAAUGUUAUCACGGGAGACACACGGCGGGUGCUAACGUCCGUCGUGAAGAGGGAAACAACCCAGACCGCCAGCUAAGGUCCCAAAGUCAUGGUUAAGUGGGAAACGAUGUGGGAAGGCCCAGACAGCCAGGAUGUUGGCUUAGAAGCAGCCAUCAUUUAAAGAAAGCGUAAUAGCUCACUGGUCGAGUCGGCCUGCGCGGAAGAUGUAACGGGGCUAAACCAUGCACCGAAGCUGCGGCAGCGACACUAUGUGUUGUUGGGUAGGGGAGCGUUCUGUAAGCCUGUGAAGGUGUGCUGUGAGGCAUGCUGGAGGUAUCAGAAGUGCGAAUGCUGACAUAAGUAACGAUAAAGCGGGUGAAAAGCCCGCUCGCCGGAAGACCAAGGGUUCCUGUCCAACGUUAAUCGGGGCAGGGUGAGUCGACCCCUAAGGCGAGGCCGAAAGGCGUAGUCGAUGGGAAACAGGUUAAUAUUCCUGUACUUGGUGUUACUGCGAAGGGGGGACGGAGAAGGCUAUGUUGGCCGGGCGACGGUUGUCCCGGUUUAAGCGUGUAGGCUGGUUUUCCAGGCAAAUCCGGAAAAUCAAGGCUGAGGCGUGAUGACGAGGCACUACGGUGCUGAAGCAACAAAUGCCCUGCUUCCAGGAAAAGCCUCUAAGCAUCAGGUAACAUCAAAUCGUACCCCAAACCGACACAGGUGGUCAGGUAGAGAAUACCAAGGCGCUUGAGAGAACUCGGGUGAAGGAACUAGGCAAAAUGGUGCCGUAACUUCGGGAGAAGGCACGCUGAUAUGUAGGUGAAGCGACUUGCUCGUGGAGCUGAAAUCAGUCGAAGAUACCAGCUGGCUGCAACUGUUUAUUAAAAACACAGCACUGUGCAAACACGAAAGUGGACGUAUACGGUGUGACGCCUGCCCGGUGCCGGAAGGUUAAUUGAUGGGGUUAGCGCAAGCGAAGCUCUUGAUCGAAGCCCCGGUAAACGGCGGCCGUAACUAUAACGGUCCUAAGGUAGCGAAAUUCCUUGUCGGGUAAGUUCCGACCUGCACGAAUGGCGUAAUGAUGGCCAGGCUGUCUCCACCCGAGACUCAGUGAAAUUGAACUCGCUGUGAAGAUGCAGUGUACCCGCGGCAAGACGGAAAGACCCCGUGAACCUUUACUAUAGCUUGACACUGAACAUUGAGCCUUGAUGUGUAGGAUAGGUGGGAGGCUUAGAAGUGUGGACGCCAGUCUGCAUGGAGCCGACCUUGAAAUACCACCCUUUAAUGUUUGAUGUUCUAACGUUGACCCGUGAUCCGGGUUGCGGACAGUGUCUGGUGGGUAGUUUGACUGGGGCGGUCUCCUCCUAAAGAGUAACGGAGGAGCACGAAGGUUGGCUAAUCCUGGUCGGACAUCAGGAGGUUAGUGCAAUGGCAUAAGCCAGCUUGACUGCGAGCGUGACGGCGCGAGCAGGUGCGAAAGCAGGUCAUAGUGAUCCGGUGGUUCUGAAUGGAAGGGCCAUCGCUCAACGGAUAAAAGGUACUCCGGGGAUAACAGGCUGAUACCGCCCAAGAGUUCAUAUCGACGGCGGUGUUUGGCACCUCGAUGUCGGCUCAUCACAUCCUGGGGCUGAAGUAGGUCCCAAGGGUAUGGCUGUUCGCCAUUUAAAGUGGUACGCGAGCUGGGUUUAGAACGUCGUGAGACAGUUCGGUCCCUAUCUGCCGUGGGCGCUGGAGAACUGAGGGGGGCUGCUCCUAGUACGAGAGGACCGGAGUGGACGCAUCACUGGUGUUCGGGUUGUCAUGCCAAUGGCACUGCCCGGUAGCUAAAUGCGGAAGAGAUAAGUGCUGAAAGCAUCUAAGCACGAAACUUGCCCCGAGAUGAGUUCU
rnacentral:rRNA from 1 species